CCUACGGGAGGCAGCAGUGGGGAAUAUUGCACAAUGGGGGAAACCCUGAUGCAGCGACGCCGCGUGAGUGAAGAAGUAAUUCGUUAUGUAAAGCUCUAUCAGCAGGGAAGAAAAUGACGGUAACUGAGUAAGAAGCCCCGGCUAAAUACGUGCCAGCAGCCGCGGUAAUACGUAGGGGGCAAGCGUUAUCCGGAUUUACUGGGUGGAAAGGGAGCGUAGACGGCAGUGCAAGUCUGGAGUGAAAGGCGGGGGCUCAACCCCCGGACUGCCCUGGAAACUGUACGGCUGGAGUGCAGGAGAGGCAAGUGGAAUUCCUAGUGUAGCGGUGAAAUGCGUAGAUAUCAGGAGGAACACCAGUGGCGAAGGCGGCUUACUGGACUGUAACUGACGUUGAGGCUCGAAAGCGUGGGGAGCAAACAGGAUUAGAUACCCCAGUAGUC
rnacentral:rRNA from 1 species